GUCGAUGCCCGAGCGGUUAAUGGGGACGGACUGUAAAUUCGUUGGCGAUAUGUCUGCGCUGGUUCAAAUCCAGCUCGGCCCA
rnacentral:tRNA from 1 species